CCUGGUUCCAGCUGCAGGCAGACCGCUCUGUCCCAGCAGACCUGGGCUGCCUGAGAUAAGGGGUCCCUCAGGGUGCAGGCCCUCAAGCUCUGGUCACGCAACUGUAAGCUCGGCCUCCAUGGGGGUUCCUGACCCUGCUGGGGCGUGCUGAGGUUUUUCCAGGCCAUGGUCAAAUCUGGGCAAAGGAGAGAGGUUUUCGUAAAGCUGCUUGGUUUUUUUCCAUAAAGUUCUUUAUUAUAAGAAUUUGUCCUCACUUAAGGAAUGAAAUUAUGGUGAUGGUAAAUAGCACUUUUUAUUUUGGUAAGGUAUGAUAUUAGUUUCUUUUUAAGUGGCAGUCCUUUGUCAAUCCUGAACUGAAAAAGAAAAUGACUAUCCUGUGAAUGCCUGAGAAUAAUGGGAUGGGAGGCGGGAGAAGGGGUACAGGUUUAAAAUCAAAGGCCUGGUGGAUGUAGGAUUUGAUCCUAUUGGGACAGGAAGGGAACAAAGCAGGGUUUUUCAUCAACAGUUCCUCACCACCCCCCAAAAAAGUAUAGAGAACCGUCAAAAUCCCUGAGCUUCUGGCUGGCCCUUGCAAGUGUUCCUGGUGUGCUCUUUCUUUCAUCCAGUUUCUGGCCAAGGCUCCAUCCACGGAUGAAGGGGAAAGCACUGUCUGUCCAGUGGAACACGAGCACUGGGGAAGCUCCUCUUAAGAACAUAUCACCCAUCCUCAACUCACCCACUGAAAUUCUACUACCAGUAAUGUACUGCUUUGGGUAGAAUGCAAGCCUCUGGUUUAUUUAAGUGAUUUAAUGCAUCAGUUCUUUAAUAUUUAAUUAAUUAAUUUUAAAAAGAUUUAUUUAUUUAUUUGAGAGUAUGAGCAGGAGGGGCAGAGGGAGAGGGACAAGCAAACUCCAUGCUGAGCAUGGAACCCAACACAAGGCUUGAUCUCAUGACCCUGAGAUCACGAUCUGAGUGGAAACCAAGAGUCCGAGGCCUAAUAGACUGCACCAGCCAGACGCCCUGCAUCAGUUCUUUUACAGUGCAUUAAAACCGUAGGCAAGAAAAUGUUUUUGUGGCAGUUAGUAUAUUGCCUGGUGCACUGAAAAUGUACAAAUAUGAUGAUGAUGAUAAUGAUGAUAAUAUUAACAUCACUAAAUCCUAACAAAACCCAAAAAGGUACGUGCUAAUAUUAUCCCCAAUUUUUGGCUGAGGAAACUGAAAUUUAGAGAGAUUGAGUAAGUUACUCAAAGCCACACUGCUUGGAAGCAGAGAGCCAGGGUCAAAACAGACACAGACAGUGUCACUAGGCCGGGGGGACCUUGAGGGACAGGUGGUGCAGGUCGGGCUGAUGUGGCGUUUAGCGGGCCAGUGAGUUCCCUCAUUCUCACUGUACUGCUGGAUGGGCAAUACUAGCUUAAAAGUGCUUCAGGUGAAAACACAAAACCCUUUCUCAAACUUUAUUUCUCUUUGUCCUUCUUUUUCCAUACCUUCCUCUCUCCUGGCACUCCCUGUGUGAUUCUGGAAGAACCUACUAAAGGAGACAAACCAGAAAGAUCCUUCCAGGACAACAUCUUGCAUCUGCAAUAUGUAGGAGCACUAUCUAAUACUAGUGUCUCACAUACAGUGGGUGCCUAAUAAAUGUUUGCCAAUCAUUAUGAGAAGGAAGCCUCUUCCAGGUCUCUGUCAAGCAGCCAGUGGUGUUCUUGAGCACCCCAGCCAAAGUCUCCUUCACUGAGCAUGCCCCACAGUGGGCUCCAUGCCUAUUUUCAACCCUACAUCUCUCCCUACACAUGGCCAACUCAAACUCAUUAUUUAUUUAUUUAUUUUUAAAGAUUUUAUUUAUUUAUUUGAGACAGAAUGAGAGAGAGAGAGAGAGCACAUGAGAGGGGGGAGGGUCAGAGGGAGAAGCAGGCUCCCUGCCGAGCAGGGAGCCCGAUGCGGGACUCAAUCCAGGGACUCCAGGAUCAUGACCUGAGCCGAAGGCAGUCGCUUAACCAACUGAGCCACCCAGGCGCCCUCAAACUCAUUAUUAAUUAUAAUACUUCUGAAAGAUGUAGGAGGUAUGUAGCACAAUCCCAUUGUCAAAUUCAGGGAAUGUCAUCUGAUAUGUACCAUCACCUUCCAUUACCUACCCAAAUGUGUCUACUACAGUCCUGGAAAUCUGAAAAACCAGUGAGUAAGGAUAGCACCUGUCCCACACCACCUAAUUAAUGCAGGGCUCUAAGGAAGUGAAUGCAGGUGUUGGAUCAGGGUCCCUGAGAGAUUAGAAUUUGUCAAUGCCUCCAGAUAUGGAAAAAUGUUAGACCUUUCACUCCCAGCCCACCCCAAAGUAUACCUUCUUUUAAGCAAAAUCAGCCAUUCUUCUGAUAUUAAUCUUUGGCAUCCACUUAUUAAUUCUCCAGUCAUUUGUUAAGAGGUAGUGAAUUAAUUAUGACAGAGACUAUGGAGCUGUAGCUCUGUGUAUGGGAGAAACCAUUUCAAACUGAUUUUCAAUUCCCAAAACUUUAAUUUUCAACACUAAACAAGGAUUUGCCAAAACUCGCUAUUUCAUUUUUUAGUUGAGCCAGCACCAAAUGGUAGGCAAUUUUUUUUUUUAAGAUUUUAUCUAUUUAUUUGAGAGAGAGAGAAUGAGAGAGAACACAUGAGAGGGGGGAGGGUCAGAGGGAGAAGCAGACUCCCCGCCGAGCAGGGAGCCCGAUGCGGGACUCAAUCCAAGGACUCCAGGAUCAUAACCUGAGCCGAAGGCAGUCGCUUAACCAACUGAGCCACCCAAGUGGUAGGCAAUUUUUUUUUUAUUGAAUCCAUCUGUAUCCGAAGAAUAUUCUAGAUGCUCUGGAAGAAAACUUUCCAAGCUCUAUAUUAACUACUGAGUGUUGACAUCUGGACCUCACACUGAUGCUCUUGCUCUAGCAGAUGCACUCACAAACGAUGUGCAUUACCAUUUCAAAUCGUCGGUGUAUAUUUCAUUCCAAUACGGGCACUAAUUUUAUUUGUAUGAAGUUGCAGACUUAACAGGAAAAGAGAAGGGGAAAUCAGACUUUUUUGUUUGGCCAGGUUGGUAAUCCUAACUUCACAGAUCUUAUGGUCGAAGCAAGGAAGAGGCCAACAUAGUUAGAGAGCCAACUUUAUCUGGCUCUUCCACAAAGAACAGGCAUUCUCCUUGCCCAGCCGGGAGAGAAAACAAAACCCACUAACUGGAUGCAAAGAUGUUGCACAGCCUUCCCUUUCUUUUCUUUUCUUUUUUUUUUUUUUAAAGAUUUUAUUUAUUUAUUUGAGAGAGAGAGACUGAGAGAGAGAGCACAUGAGAGGGGGGAGGGUUGGGAGGGUCAGAGGGAGAAGCAGACUCCCUGCUGAGCAGGGAGCCCGAUGCGGGACUCGAUCCAGGGACUCCAGGAUCAUGACCCGAGCCGAAGGCAGUCGCUUAACCAACUAAGCCACCCAGGCGUCCUCAGCCUUCCCUUUCUGUGUGCAGGGUCAUGCACACACUGCCAUUCUGUUCCUUCUGAGUGCCUGGCUGCUUAGAAAAGUUUAAGAAUAAUUCUGAGUUGCACAGUGAUCAAACCAACCUUGGGUUAAGACUCUCAGUCCUCCUCCUUUUUAAAAGGAUCAAGUACAAAAACACUUCAAAGGGGCUACAUAUAAUUCAGGAAUACAGACAGGUAGGGGAGAAUCACUUUAGGAAGAAGAGUAGAGAAGUUUUACCAGCUGUCCAUAGCAUUAGAGCCAGGGAUUUAAGACAUGGGUAGUUAUUUCUAGGCUUAAAAAUGCUAUGCUUCCAUUUAUUCUGUAGAUUAUGAAGUCUAUUUCCACAAAGAGCAGUUAAAAUUGGGUUGGGACAGAAAAGCAACCUAGAGAAGCAGAAAAGGGAAAGGAUGAGAAAAAAAAUUCUUGUGCACAUGGAACACAUCAGAGGCAACAGACUUCUGGGGACACUUUGACCUCAGCUUUACCUUUGUAAAUAUCCUACCUCACUUUUUUUAUUUCCUCCUGAUGUGUCCCACCUGUUAAUACCAGGUAAAACCUUUUCUUUUAUCAAGGAAUAUAAGGAAAUGAGUCUGCCCGCAAGUUUUGUUUUUGUUUUUUAAGAUUUUAUUUACUUAUUUGACAGAGAGACACAGCCAGAGAGGGAACACAAGCAGGGGGGGUGGGAGAGGGAGAAGCAGGCUUCCCGCUGAGCAGGGAGCCCGAUGCGGGGCUCGAUCCCAGGACCCUGGGAUCAUGACCUGAGCCGAAGGCAGACGCUUAAUGACUGAGCCACCCAGGCAUCCCUUGUUUGGUUUUUAAUACAUCUUCUUUUAAAAACAUUUGCCAAUCAGAGUUUCAACCACACAAUGGAAUUUUCACCCUUUUAUUCUGUUUUUAGAAUAUAGUUGCUGCUUAGACUUGGUAAUGGGUUUAUUAAUCCUUUACUGGGUAGACAAAAAGAUUCUUCGUUGUGGCAUUAACCAGGGUUUCUCAACCUUGGCAUUGUUGAAGUUUUGGACCAGAAAAUUCUUUGUUGGGGCUGUUCUGUGCAGUGUUGGAUAUUCGGCAGCAUCCUUGGCUUUUACCCAAUGGAUGCCAAUAGCACUUGCUGUGAAAACCAAAAAUGUCUCCAGACCCUGCCAAAUGCCCCCCUUCCAGGGGCAAUUCUUCCUUCCACCCUAGAAACACUAGCCACUGGCUUUAAGGAAAUCAUUAAAAUAUGAAAAGGAGAUAUUAAAGUAGACAUCCAUCGGAAAGAUCAAAAUUCUUAUUUCCCAAGUAUUUCGUAUUUGAAGAGUAUUUUAGUAGAUCUUAUUCAUUCUUAGCCUCCCCUAAUUACACGGUGGGCUCAUCCACUGAUCUCUGACAUGGCAGAAUCCUCUCCCAGCCCCAAGAGAGAUUGUUAGUCAUGAGAAUUCCAUUUCCUUUUGCCCAUUUCUCAGUUCUAGACUGAGACAUAAAAGGGGGAAAAUGUUUGAGAAGUCUUCCUCUUAUAAGAUUAAAAAAUAGUAAUUAUAAAUAAGAUCCUCUCUAAAAGAAAAAAAAAAGUCUUUUUGCCAUAUGUGUUUUUUCCCCACUAGAAAGUCUGUCUUUUAAUGUGAUAGGACUGCUUGGACCAUGAGCAGUCCCUCACAAUUACAAGGAACCAAGAGAAAGGAAAAAAAAAAAGAAAGAAAGAAAGAAAGAAAGAAAGAAAGAAAGAAAGAAAGAAAGAAAGAAAGAAAGAAAGAAAGAAAGAAAGAAAGAAAGAAAGAAAGAAAGAAAGAAAGAAAGAAAGAAAAGAAAUGCCAACAGCUUGAGCAAGGUAAAGCAGAAAAAAACAAAAGAGCUUCAGUCCUUGAUGAUAUCUUUGAACCAUUGAACCAGCCUUGGAAUGUCCACCUCAGACUGCUGGUUAGUUGAAAUAAUUCAACACUUUUAUUGCUUAGCCAAAUCAAUAGUUGGCAAACUCUGAUUUGUGGGUCAAAUGCAGGAACUAAGAACUGUUGUUACAUUUUUAAAAGGUUGUUAAGAAACAAAGGUUGUUAAAAAUAAACAGCCAUAUGGGGCCCACAAAUUCUUAAAUAUUUACUAUGUGGCCCUGCAUAGAUAAAGUUUGCCAAUCCCCAAUCUCGACCACUCAUAGCUAAUGUCUUGUGAUUUGCAACUCAAAGCAUUCUUAACUAAAACAAGUACUGAUAUCUUCAUUUUACAAUUAUAGAAACUGAAGCUUGAAUCUGCCAACGGUAGGCUCAACUAGACAAGUCAAAUACAAACUUGCCAUUAUUUCAAUUCAUUGUAAAGUUAAGCCAAAUUGAGGCAUCACAAAAUAUUUAAUAAACUUUUCUAUAUUUUAGGGCUUCGAAUCAUAUUUGUACCAGAGGCUUGAUUUUACAAAUCAGAAUAGAUGAAGCCUCUUGAUGAAACACAAUAUGCUCAGUGAAUACCUUCAAAGGGGGUCAGACUGUCCUACUAUCUGGAGCACCAAGGCAUUUCCUGCCCUAGGAAGUCAAACCUGGAGACCCCAAAGAGGAAAAGACAUUACAGAAACACACUAGGAACAAACUCGCUGAUUUGAUAAAUUACCUUUUCUGCUUGCUGAAACAGUUCCUGCAUUUCCUUGCUGACUCACUUAGAGAGAGUGAAUUCUUAGUGGAAAAAAUCCAAAGGCUUCCUCCAUUAACUUUAGCACCCAAGUUAAUACUGCUGUUUCCAGUUGGACCAGCAUGUUUGGUAGCACCUUGAUAAAGGAUUUAAAUAUUGAUAAAAUCUUAUACUCAGAGUCAGGUCCAGAAGAAGGCAGACAGAGCUCAUUGUGGAGAGCCCAUCAGAUGAGUGUUGUACGAGUUACAGUAAACAUUCGCCCACAUCUAACCAUGGGGCCAUAACUGAGCACUGAAUGACUGACUGGCAGGGCCAGGCUUUUCUCAGUUGAUCCAACCAACAUUUCUUUGCCUUUGUGUCCCAGUGUCUAUCCCAGUAUAGGAGGUGGUCAAUCAGGAACAAAAGCCCUCGGUCUACACCCAAUACUGGUUGUGCUUCAGUGUUGGGUUGGUUUGUCGGCAGAACUGGACCAUAUCGGGAUCCAGACUCAUCCAUGUCUCCCAAGGAGCACAUUUCUCCACUGGCUCAGUGGCUGGAGAAGCCAUUUGCUCACUUUGUGGGUCCCUGAAAAGACUGACUGGGGGAUUUCUGGAGCUUUUUAGAAGGGGUGUCACUGUGACAGUGGGAACAGUUAUGCUCCUUUCUGGCCUAGGACCUGGGGUUGUAGGUUCAAGAUUGGUCUGAGACUUGAUAAGAGGUUUUGUCUUUUCUACCUUCUGGCCCAGCAGCCAGACACACAAGGCCACUGCAGUUAUCAUCAGCAGGAAGACCACCACAGCCAAGGGUACAAUGACCAUCAGGGGAUAACUGCUCUCCCUGGGCUGGGUGGGUGCCUCAGGACUGGCGUUGGUUGUGUCUGGUGGCCAGAUGACCCUAGCUGGAGAAGCUUUGCCAUCCAGAGUAGACUCUUCACCACGGUGUUGUCCCCAGGGCCUUGCUUCCUGCUGCCUGGUCUGGGUCAGCUUCCCUAGAGUUUCUGUCUUUGCUGUGGGUCCUGAGGAAACCACGGGCUUUUCCUGAGAGAGAUCUGAAGUCACAAGGUUAUCUGUAGUGACUAAUAAAGAAACAUCAGGGGUAAAGUUUUGCAAACAUAAGGGGUCAGGUGGCACUAUGGUGAAGGGUAGAUGACCUAUUGCUGGCUGCACAUGGUCUGCCCUGAGCAAGAAAGUGAAGGAGUCAUUCAGCAUAUCAAUGCCUGUUAGGUUGGCAUGUGGAUGAAGCAUCAACAACCCUUGGUCAAUGUCCCUCUGAGUGAAUAGAGUAGCGUUUUCCAUUGCCGUGCCUCGGCCCACUCUUCGUACAAGUCUUCCAUGGACAGGGAGUUCGGUCACUUCAAAUUUGGGAUCACCGUUAGUCCUAUUAGCAAGCUCAGUCGCAUCAAGGUCCUUUCUUCUCAGCUGAUAAACCUCCCUGUUGGCGAUGGUCAGGUUUGACGUAACCUGCAGUAAAGGCUGCACCCUGAUGUUCAGUGUUUGUCCCGUCAGAUUGCUUUCUGGUGUAAAUAGUGAGAAAUACAGCUGGUCCUCUGAGGCCAUGAGAUGUGUCAUAUGGUAAGAAAGUCUUCCUGAAUGCAGAUCUUCCUGCCCAAAGCUGACAACCACCUGGUUUUCAAUGAGCAGAUGCCCAUGUUGGGGGGGCCAUGUCAUCUUGUAAGUGAUUUGGGGGCUUCUCCCAUUGGUCGUUGCUGACAAGUGAGUAUUGGUGAUGGGGACAGUUGUCUGGCCUUGUGGGAGAAGUAGGUCCGUGAGGUUCACAAGGGUGAUGGAGAUGGGGAUGACAUCCAGGUGGAAGAGCUUAUAGAGUGGGCGGUGUUGGCCAUCAGUCACACUAAAGUAAAACACACUCGAAGAUGGGCUUCCAUCUUGUACAAACCAUACCUGAGAGUUAUCAAUGUCAGCUUGUGUGAAAUGGUGAACAGGUACGUCUGGAUGGUGAGCCAUUGCCAAAAAGCCAUUAUUAGGAUUACGGAUGAUCAUAUAUCUGAUCUCCUCUGGAGGACUGUCUAGAUCUUCCACUCUUAGGUUUUCUGGUCCCACAACCAACCUAUUUCCCUGCAGAACUUUCAACCGAAGCCCUUUUGUCUUUAAUUCUGGUGCCUGGUCAUUAACAGGAGAUAUGGUGAUGUUAAACAUCUCUUCAAGGAAGUCAGCCUCUGGCUUGGUGGUGGACUUGCUCUUCUGUUUCGGCCAAACGGCAAAGGUAAAAUUAUCAGCCAGCGAUUCAGAGUCAUCGUGAAGGAUGAAGAGUGAUUGUCCCAGGGAAAGAAUGGUUCUCAAAGAUGAGAAUAGUUGAGAUGAAGGUCAAAAAUCUGAGGGAAAUUAAUUGGAAAGGAGCCCCAACCAUAGCUAUGUACUUUGGAAGACUCCUGGAGGAGAGGUCUGCUAUCGGUUCUUUUCCUGAAAAGUCAUUCCAAAAGUGAGAAAUUGUGAAUAACUUAUUGACUCAUUUUAUGCUGGAGAGUGAGAGAAUUGAAUUAGAUUCAUCUUGAGCGUAUGAGCUUCAAGACCGGACAGCAGAUAAUUGAAAGUGCUGAGCUAGAAGCAAAAGGGAAUGAGUGUGCCUGUGGAAUGUCAACUUGGCAGUCAUGCCCUGAAGGAGCUUUGAGGUGAGUAGAGUCUUUAAUAUUUAGAAGAUAGAGAGCUUUAAGAAUCAGAUUCCAGGGGCGCCUGGGUGGCUCAGUCAGUUGAGCAUCUGAUUCUUGAUCUCAGCUCAGGUCUUGAUCUUAGGGUCGUGAGUUCCAGCCCCACGUCGGGCUCCACACUGGGCAUGGAGCCUACUUAAAAAAUAAACAAAUAAGAACCAGGUUCUAAGGUGUGUGUACGUGGGCGUAUGCAUGUGUGCAUGUGCAUGUAUGUGCGUGUGUGUGUGUGUGUGUGUGUGUGUGUGUGUGUGUGUGGUGGAGAGGGCUAGAAAAGGGAGAACAAGACCAAGACUUUAUGGGAAAAAAUGUAAGGUAAACCUCAAGAGAGAAGGAUCUCAGACAGGAUUAGGAAUUUUGUUACCUCAAAUAGAAAGUGGCCGUAGGGGCAACUUCCAACAGCUCUGCAUAUUUCUGCUGUAUUCAAUAUAGAUCAAUAAACCACUUAGCUGAAUACCUGGGCUCUGAGAUUAAGGAGAGGGGAGGUUUUUAUUUCUAAUGGGAUUUAGAUUAGCCCAGAUAUUUUCUCUUUUACAGAUGAAGUCUUUUUGGAAUGUCAUUAGAAAUUAAAAUUUGUAUAAUUCCAACUAGUAAAUGCAGAUGGAAAAACAGAAUGAGAAAAAUCACCAUUUGGCAAUCACCAUAGUAAUAAAUAUCUCACAGGAAUCCUAAAUGAUUGCUUACACUAGCGAGCUAAGUUGUGAUGAGAAACAGGGUAUUUAAAUAGUUCCAAAGUAUUCCCUCACAAAAUACUUAAUUACAGAAAGGGAAAUAUUAAGUUCGCCAAGGAGAAACCUGAAAGAUAGCACCUGACUAAGUGGCGAACAUCAUCAGUGACAGGGUGGAGUGAGCAUUGGUGCUUCCUGAUGUGAGGCCGGAGGAGACCUCAGCAUCGCUCAUGGCCAUUCCCGCCAAAAUGCACAACCUAAAUUGGACUGUGAGGAAACAUCCAAUGAAACCAAACUGAGGAACACACUACAAAUAACCGGCCUGUUCUCAAAAAAUGGCCACGUCACAAAAGUCAGCAAGACUGCAGAAUGCUUUCAGAUUAAAGCAGACCAAGGACACCUGAAAACUAAAUGCUACGUUUUACACUGUGGAUUUUUUUCUUUAGGAUAUUCUUUUUUUCUAGAGGAUAUGCAUUGAAACAACCUGUGAAAUUUGAAUAAGGUCUACAGAUUAUAUAAUAGAUUGUAUCAAUGCUAAUUUCAUGAUUUUGAAAAUUAUACUGUGGUUAUAUGAGAAAGGCCUUAUUUUUAAGAAAUAUGCACUAAGGUAUUUAGAGGUAAAGGUACAUCAUGUCUGCAACUGCCUCUUAAAAUUUCAGAAGUGUGUGUGUGUGUGCAUGUGUGAAGAGGUAUGAUAAAGCAGGUAGUUAAAAGCUAACAUUUGGGUAAUAUGGAUGAAUAGUAUACUUUGUACUCUUUUGCAAUCGUUCUGUAAGUCUGAAAUUAUGUCAAAAUGAAAAAGUUAAAAAAAUAAUUCUAAAAAGUAAAUCCCAUAGUGUUUUACUAUUUCAACUUCAGGAAGGGACCAAUAAUUUCUUUUCUCUGAUGACCAAGUAUGUGCAGAAUGGGGGAGGGGGGCUAACCUUUGCAUGCCUUGGGCACUCUGACAUCAAGAAGUGCUCGUUUCCUAUCCCAACAUCGUUCCCCCCACCUCCAACUUGGUCCAUUUCUCUAGUACCUCAACAAGGCUGUACUCCUAACUAACAUAUGAGUGGGUGAAUAUGCAGGUCAAAAUCCUAGACCUGAGAAGUCCUUUUAUUUGAAAUGACAAUAUCAUAACACCCCUUGGAUCUCUGAGAUUUAAAUCUUCUGGAUUUCAUAUCCUUGAUUCCUACAGAACCACAAAGAAAAAUAUUUGUCAGAGGCCAAAGGCAUAAAUUUGGCUCCAUGAAGGCCAGGGGCCCUACUGAAUUUUCUGUGCUGGAUUAAAGUUUACAACUCAGAGGCUGCUGAGCAGCUCAGAGAGGGUGGGAAUUUAGGGAACUCCUCUCCAUCUCCUCAGUCAUCGACCUAGUUGGGAGAAGAGCUGAGACCAGAAGCCAGAUCUCCACACUUAUAGAUAAGAACCCUUUCUCCUAGAGCACUUGAUUGGAGACUGUUUGGCUCCAGCUGCCUGAAUGAUUACUCUUCUUCCUCCAAGGAGGAAAAGGAUACACAUUAAUAUAAAAAUGGAAGCAGAGGAGUGUAGUAGAAUUUGAACCAUGGGUUGAUCAGACCUACAUUCAAAUAUAAAUGCUUCCAACUUUCAGCUCUGUGGCUUUUAUGCAGGUAAUUUAAUCUCUCUGAGCUUACAUUUCUGCAUUAAAGUAUGGAAUAACAUCUCUCUUGUAAAUAUACAUUUAACCUAGUCUUUUGCCAUAUUAAUGUUCAAAACAACAUGCCCUGAGCAUUUCUAAGUCUUUCAGGAAAGCAUCUAAGUCUUCACUAAUCAAUUCCUUACUAGAACAUCAGCGGAUUCUGGUUAAAAUGGAAGGCUAUACUUAUUUUUAAUAAAGAAUCAUGGCAUGAAAAUAUUAAGCAAUUAGAAAUUUCUAAAACACGCCUAAUAAAAUAAAUCUUUUCUCAUAAAACAAAGAAAUAGUUAGCCUGGAAUUUUGGCACAUACUCCAGAAACUUACUUCCAGUUGCUUUGUAAAUAAGUAUUAGUUCACCAUCCUAUACUUGACAUUUCAAAAAAUAUUUGUUUAAUGAAUAAGCUACUUAAAAAGUGCUUUACAAAAUUUAAUUAUAAAAUAUGUUUAUAUCAUGAAGCAGUAGAAACAAGGUAAUCCAAGACAUUUCUUACCCAUUUAUUUAACAAAAACACAAACAGUACCUUUUACUGAGCCCUAAAUAUGUGUCAGACUCUCUGCAAGGCAUAUCAUGUAACUCAUUUUAUUUAAUUUUGUUUUAAGGGCCUUAUUAUAUCCACUUGACAGAUAAAAAAAAAAAAACCUGAGGCUCAGAAAAUUUAAAUAAUUCACUCACAGCCAACAAGUGGGAGAGCCCAGUUUUUAAUCUAGUCCCAUGUGACUCCAGAAUUCAUGUUUUUUUCCACUGCACUGUUCCUUCAGCAUGGAAAGCUCAAUGAGAUUCUAGGCAACUAAGAAAUUCGCAAGAUAUGUGCUCCAGCUUUAAGGGGUUUAGUAAUGUCAAAAGUCAGUUGGUAGGUAUGGCUAGGGCAGACAAAUGCCAUUUUGUGGUCUGGCCUGGCUAGAACAUAAUCACCAUUGGCCAGAACUUGUAAGGAUUCAAAGAAACAGCUCAUUCUAUAUACUGCAUUUAUUACAAAAGGAAAGUUAAAGAAAACCUGUGUUUUAUAUUUUCUUUUAUACUACUGCCAUUGUAUAUCAGGUACAAACUUUCUCAUAGGACCUUAGAGGAAAUAACGUGGAUUGAGGGGAAAGGAGUUUCCAUCUAGAUCAAGGCUGAGGGCAAUUCUUUUCUGGCCCCAAGGUGACUGGCAGACACCUAUUUUCUUCAGGCUAAGCUCUUUAAACCUGAAGGCAUUUUUAUAGUUCCUCAUUGUUUGACCACAUGAUUUUACACAUGUGUAAAACACAAACCUCAGUGUUAUUCAGAUUUUUUGUGUGGGUGGGCAAGAUAUAGUUUUUUUUGUUUUUUGUUUUGGCAAGAUAUAAUUAUUAAACAUUCACAUAUUACAAAGGGUCAUUAUGAGUGCUCUGGAUGAACCCAGGGGUGAAGUGGGAGCUUUGAUACACCAUGCUGGUGAAGUCAACCAUGACAUAGAAUCUGACAAUUUUUCCCCCCAAAUCGUGUGCACAUUCUCUAGAUCCGCAAAAGUACAUGCAGACAGGACUGAGUGUUAAGAGAAUAAAACUGUCAGACUUGGCCAAAGACAGGCUAGAAUGCUCUGGAGCAUCUCUUCAUUCUGAGGGUCUUUAUAAAUCCAGUUCUCUAUGGUCCUGAUAAGAACAUCAGACAUAAGUCUUUCACAGUGAUCUCUUCCAUGGUGGGGCUUAAAAGUCACUCACAGCUUUGAAAUUCCCACUGGAGAAGAGAGUAACCAAAUUAUCUUGGAGUCAGCUGGGAAAAGGGAGAGGGAGAAAGGGAAACAUGGAGUCCGUUCACUUGCUUCUCCAAAACACGAUGGUUUUGUUAAAGGUCCCAGUCUCUAGACAGGAUAACUGUUGUCCAGAAGAAGCAAGGGAAACAGAACUGGCCAAAAAGUCUCUAUCUUGGGCAAAUCUUCAUGGAGAAAGGAGAUUGCAGAAAGCCAAACACUUCAGAAAGGUCGGGUCUCUAAGGUUCCAUAUGGGUUAACCAAAAAGUCCUAUAAGCUAAGAUUUGGAAGGCAACAAGGUCCUGUGCUCCUGAAGGAUGAGCUCAGACAAAUGACUCCUCUUCAUGUGCCCUUCCUUACUUUUACCAGGACUGACACUAUCAUGUGUGCAGUGAGUAGUCGGGUCUGGAGGGCUUAAGGUUCCCAGAAGAGGUCAGAAGUCUGGGGCAGCCCAGGGAGUGGCAGCUUGGAGAGAUUUUCCUUAAUGAGAAUGGAUAGAAGACCUAAGUUCCUAAAUGGCGCUAUCUGGAAAUCUCCAGCUAGAAAUGGGCAACUGAAAACCAGGUCCAAAUAAUUACCCAUGCCCCUCCAUGACUGAGCCAAUCUCCACACAAAAAAAACUAGAUUAGAAAGCUUUUCAAGGAGCCCAGCAAUAUAGCCAUCUAUAGGCCUACUUGGCAGAAAGGUCUAAAUCCACAUUUAUAUAGAAGUGAACAUUGAUUCUCACGGGCUAUGCCAUUAUAAGCAAUGGAAACCUUUAAUAAAACUACCAAAUGAGAUCAUAGAAAAGGUGAUUCAUCAGGUAGUAUGGGACAUCUUGCUUAUUUUAUAGAUGAGUGUAGUAGGCUAAAAAUGUCCCCCCCACCACGAAAUAUCAGAUCCAAAUCCCUUGAACCUGUGAAUAUUACCUUUUUUUUUUUUUUUAAGAUUUUAUUUACUUAUUUGAGAGAGAGUGUGAGAGAGCACAAGCAAGGGGAGGGGCAGAGGGAGAGGGAGAAGCAGGCUCCCCGCUGAGCAAGGAGCCUGAUGCGGGGCUCAAUCCCAGGAUCCUGGGAUCAUGACCUGAGCUGAAGGCAGAUGCUUAACCGACUGAGCCACCCAGGCGCCCCGAAUAUUACCUUCUUUGGCAAAGACUUGGCAGAUGUGAUUAAGGAUCCUGAGAUUGGAAAUUACCCUGGACUGUCGAGGUGGGCCCUAACUGCAGUCACAGACAUCCGUACCAGAGGGAGGCAGAGGGAUAUUUGACUUGGAUGAAAGAGGAGAUAGGAAAGUGACCAAUGGAGGCAGAGAUUGGAAUGAUAAAGCCACACACCAAGAAAUGCUGGCCGCUACCAGAAGUUUCAAAAGGCAAGGAAGGAAUUCCCCGUUACAGCCUCCAGAGGGAGGCUAACAGCUUGAUUUCAGCCCAGUGAAAUGGAGUCUCAACUUCUGACCUCCAGAACUAUGAGGUAAUACGUUUCUGCUGUUUGAAGUCACCAAGUUUGUGGUAAUUUAUGAUAAGAGCCAUAGGAAACUAAUACAAGGAGAAAAGAGAAAUCAGUCUCACUGAAAUGGGAAUUAGUUCUAUCUGCUUUUUCAAAGGAAGAGCCAAAAGUUCUCAGAAGAAAAAAUACUUCUGGUUAUUCAAAGUCACUGGGCCAGGACCCACGAGCCAAAUUUCAGUUUGAACAAGGAAUAGAUGAGCAAGUGACAACUGAAUAUUUCUACACGUGGGAAAUAUGCUGGCACAUAAUUCAGUGAACUGUGAUGGCAAAACCCAAAUUGCCAAAAUGAAACACUGGUAGGAAAUGUCCAAAAUGAUCACUGAGUCUAGUUGCCAUGGAGCUUGCUACUGAAGAGGCCCCAAGAAACUGGGGGGUGAGGACAAGAGUAAUCAUUAACACAAAGACACUGAUCCUUCUCUGCUCAGAAAAUGAAAGGGCCCAAGUUUAAUGAUCCCAUUGUGCUCUCCAUUAAGUUGUAAUGAAUUACUUUCUAUCCUAUGGGAAAUGUGCUCUCAAUUUCUUAAAAUGUCUGUGUUAUCUUGAGCACAAAUUCAGACUCCAGGAGAAGAGGUAAUUGGACAGAAUUCACAACACUGCGAAUGCACUGUAUUAUUUUCUAAGUGUGGGCCUGGAAGGCUCUGUUUGUUGUGUUCCAGUAACAUUGAUGAAGAUGGAUGAUCUUUCCUCCACAAUGGCACAGUGGCUUAAACGUAAUUACUGGCUUUAUGGAAAAGAAAAAAGGCCAGACAUCAGAAACCUCAAAACCAAAACACUUUGCUUUUUAAUGAUUCCAAAUGAUCUAAACAUGCACUGGAAUGAAAAUCACUCAAUUAGCCCUCUGCUCUACUUGGAGUGCUUUAUAGAAUUCAAUUCAUACUUUUUUAACACAUUCUUUGAAAUGAACAAUAAAUCUCUAAAAUUGUAAAAAGCUUUCAUUUCAUAAAAUUUGAUGAUUCACUUU